rnacentral:RNase_P_RNA from 1 species
UAUUGAUGAUAAUAUUUCAAUGUGAGGAAAGUCCGGGCUCCUUCGGAAGAAAUGCCGGAUAAUAACCGGGCGGCAAAAAGCAGUUUUCAACUAAUCGAAAGAUUUUUGUCAUAACCUUUUAGCCGACAGAAAGUGCUACAGAAAAUAACCGCCGAGCAAUCGGUAAGGGUGAAAAGGCAGGGUAAGAGCCUACCGUGUGUCUGGUAACAGCGCAGCAAAGCAAACCUCAUUUGGAGCAAGAUUAAGAAGCAGUUUGUUAUUCCGAGCAUUAAACUGCGGGUAAAUCGCUAAAGUCAGCGAGUAAUCGCUGUUCUUGGAUAGAUGAAUAUACGCGUUUGCGUGACAGAACUCGGCUUAUUCCG